rnacentral:lncRNA from 1 species
AUGGAGCCCCCCAAACCCGCAUUGCCUUUUAGAAACAAAAGCGAGUGGAACAGGCGGGCGCGCCCCGCCGGUCCCCUCGGCCACCCGGGGCCGCGGCCCAAGUACGCGGCCGGCUCCGCGCAUCACCGCCCGGACCCCCACCCCCACCCCGCGCAUCACCGCCGGGUCCCCCCGCGCAUCACCGCCCGGGCAUUCCCCGCACCGCCCACCGCGCAUCACCGCCGGGACCCCCCCCCCCGCGCAUCACCGCCCGGGACCCCCGCGCAUCACCGCCCGGAACCCCCCCCCCCCCGCGCAUCACCGCCGGGACCCCCCCCCCGCGCAUCACCGCCCGGGACCCCCGCGCAUCACCGCCCGGACCCCCCCCCGCGCAUCACCGCCCGGACCCCCCGCCCCCCGCGCAUCACCGCCCGGACCCCCCCCCCGCGCAUCACCGCCCGGACCCCCCCCCCCCCCGCGCAUCACCGCCCCGGACCCCCGCGCAUCACCGCCCGGACCCCCGCCCCCCAACCUCCCGCCUCCGAGCCGGGCCCCCGGACGAGCAGUCGCCGCCCCGCCGCGACCCCGGCUGUGCCCCGGGAUCCGCACCUCGGGGCUGCCCACGUCCGCCGCCCGGGGGUCUGGGUCCCCGGGAGCGGAGCCGCGCCGAGGGCGCCCUCCCGCCCCCCCCGCCCGGGGCCCAGCUCUUACCGCGCCGCUUCGGGCAGGGCCGGCGGCUCUCGGGGCCGGGCUCCGCGGGGCGCGUCGGACGCGAGCGAGGGCGGCGGGGCGGGGGGGUCCGGGCGCGGGGCGCGGGGCGCGGGGCGCGGGCACCCGGCGGGGGUCGGGAGCCGGGGACGCUGGCGGGGCGAGGCGGGCGGCUCCGGGGCUGGAGGACCGGGCCGCACCGCGCUCCGUGCCGCCACCGGAGGAAGUAACCGGCCGGUCCCCUCCGCGGCGCGCUCUUCAGGGCCGGGGGAGGAGAGAGGAGGGAGGAAAGACGACAGAGGGGAGGGGAGGAGGGGCGAGGGGGAGGGGAGGAGAGAGGGGAGGGAGGAGACGGGAGGAGGAGAGACGGGAGGGGGGGAGGGAGGAGGGAAAGGAGGGGGAGGAAGGGCGGCGGGAGGGGAGAGGAGUGGAGGGACGGAGGAGGAGGAGGAGGAGGAGGAGGAGGAGGAGGAGGAGGGCGGGCAGCGGCGCCGAGGAGGGGUGAGGACGCGAGGGGAGGGGCGCGGGGCGGGGCCGGCUCCCUCCUGCCGGGACGGCGCGGGGCGCCCGCUGUCACCUGGCUGCGGCCCUCGCCUGCGGCUCUGGGACCGCGGGGCCUCCCCUCCCCCCCUCCCCCCGUCCCGGGGCCUUCACCCCAAAGGCGCCCCUGGGCCCGGGCAGGAGCGGGGUGGGGGCACCGAGUGGCCGCGGGGCUUGGGUAACAAGGGGCUCCCUCCGGCCCGGCUCCUGGACCCCCUCCUGGCCUCGCGAUUUCUCAUUCUAUCACGAAGUCUCCAAAAUGCGUCUGCGGUGCCAAAAGGUCCGAAUCGAGGCCCUCGGCUGGGCCGCGGAGCCCGCGCCGCUCCGGGACGCCCCCGGCCCCCGGCCCCCGGCUUCGUGUGA